UUAUAAAUAGAUAUUUAAAAUUAUAUAAAUGCAUCACAAGAUGCUUACACAAACCAAUCAAUUGCAAUAAUUAAUGAAACAUCUUCUACUGGAACUCCCACGGAAUUUAAUACCAUUAUUAACAUUACAUAACCACCGCUUGAAUACAAACCAGAUUAUAACAAUUUUAAAUAAUGAAAAUUGUAAUCCAUGCAAUUGAAUUAUGAAAAUUGCACCAAUACUUUCAUAUAGUGCUAUACCAUCCAUGUUUAUAGUUGCACCAAUUGGUACAAUAAAUCUAGAUAUUUUAGAAGGUAUUCCAAUAUGUUUUAAGCAUGAUAUUGUUACUGGAACUGUAGCUGUACUAAAGUAUAGAUAUUAAAUGUUUAUAAUUUUAUUAAUAAAAAUAAAAAUAUAUCUAUUUUAAUUGAUUACCUUGAUGAUGUACCAAAUGCUGUGACAAAAGCUGGUCCAAGUUUAACUAUAAUUUUGUAUGGAGAUUGAUGAGUACAUAUAAAAUAUAACAAAGGAAGUAAUAUUAAGCCUUGUAUAAGUAAACCACUGAAAACGGUUAAAAUAUAAAUUCCAAGUUGUUUUAUUACAUUAUUAAAAUUUUCCACUUCAAGAAUUUUUGCAGAAAUAAGAAAUAAUGCACUUAUUGGUACAAGCCUAUUACAAAAUAAAUGUUUGCAUAUAAUAAAAAUUUAUUUCUUUUGUUUAAA